UUUAAUUGAAGAGUUUGAUCAUGGCUCAGAUUGAACGCUGGCGGCAGGCUUAACACAUGCAAGUCGAGCGGUAGCACAGGGAGCUUGCUCUGGGUGACGAGCGGCGGACGGGUGAGUAAUGUCUGGGAAACUGCCUGAUGGAGGGGGAUAACUACUGGAAACGGUAGCUAAUACCGCAUAACGUCGCAAGACCAAAGAGGGGGACCUUCGGGCCUCUUGCCAUCAGAUGUGCCCAGAUGGGAUUAGCUAGUAGGUGGGGUAAUGGCUCACCUAGGCGACGAUCCUAGCUGGUCUGAGGAUGACCAGCCACACUGGAACUGAGACACGGUCCAGACUCCUACGGGAGGCAGCAGUGGGGAUAUUGCACAAUGGGCGCAAGCCUGAUGCAGCCAUGCCGCGUGUGAAGAAGGCCUUCGGGUUGUAAAGCACUUUCAGCGAGGAGGAAGGUGGUGAGCUUAAUACGUUCAUCAAUUGACGUUACUCGCAGAAGAAGCACCGGCUAACUCCGUGCCAGCAGCCGCGGUAAUACGGAGGGUGCAAGCGUUAAUCGGAAUUACUGGGCGUAAAGCGCACGCAGGCGGUUUGUUAAGUCAGAUGUGAAAUCCCCGGGCUCAACCUGGGAACUGCAUUUGAAACUGGCAAGCUAGAGUCUCGUAGAGGGGUAGAAUUCCAGGUGUAGCGGUGAAAUGCGUAGAGAUCUGGAGGAAUACCGGUGGCGAAGGCGGCCCCUGGACGAAGACUGACGCUCAGGUGCGAAAGCGUGGGAGCAAACAGGAUUAGAUACCCUGGUAGUCCACGCUGUAAACGAUGUCGAUUUGGAGGUUGUGCCCUUGAGGCGUGGCUUCCGGAGCUAACGCGUUAAAUCGACCGCCUGGGAGUACGGCCGCAAGGUUAAAACUCAAAUGAAUUGACGGGGGCCCGCACAAGCGGUGGAGCAUGUGGUUUAAUUCGAUGCAACGCGAAGAACCUUACCUACUCUUGACAUCCAGAGAACUUUCCAGAGAUGGAUUGGUGCCUUCGGGAACUCUGAGACAGGUGCUGCAUGGCUGUCGUCAGCUCGUGUUGUGAAAUGUUGGGUUAAGUCCCGCAACGAGCGCAACCCUUAUCCUUUGUUGCCAGCGGUUCGGCCGGGAACUCAAAGGAGACUGCCAGUGAUAAACUGGAGGAAGGUGGGGAUGACGUCAAGUCAUCAUGGCCCUUACGAGUAGGGCUACACGUGCUACAAUGGCGUAUACAAAGAGAAGCGACCUCGCGAGAGCAAGCGGACCUCAUAAAGUACGUCGUAGUCCGGAUUGGAGUCUGCAACUCGACUCCAUGAAGUCGGAAUCGCUAGUAAUCGUAGAUCAGAAUGCUACGGUGAAUACGUUCCCGGGCCUUGUACACACCGCCCGUCACACCAUGGGAGUGGGUUGCAAAAGAAGUAGGUAGCUUAACCUUCGGGAGGGCGCUUACCACUUUGUGAUUCAUGACUGGGGUGAAGUCGUAACAAGGUAACCGUAGGGGAACCUGCGGUUGGAUCACCUCCUUACCUAAAGA
rnacentral:rRNA from 1 species